rnacentral:rRNA from 1 species
UACAGGAGGUCUCAAGCGUUGUUCGGAUUCAUUGGGCGUAAAGGGCGCGUAGGCGGCGGGGUAAGUCUGGUGUGAAAUCUCGGAGCUCAACUCCGAAAUUGCACUGGAUACUGCUCUGCUAGAGGGCUGGAGAGGAGAUCGGAAUUCACGGUGUAGCAGUGAAAUGCGUAGAUAUCGUGAGGAAGACCAGUGGCGAAGGCGGAUCUCUGGACAGCUCCUGACGCUGAGGCGCGAAGGCUAGGGGAGCAAACGGG